rnacentral:tRNA from 1 species
GCCCCAGUAGCCCAAUGGCAGAGGCAGCAGACUUAAAAUCUGCAAAGUGUCGGUUCGAGUCCGACCUGGGGUA